rfam:Zea mays cultivar B73 chromosome 8, whole genome shotgun sequence.
UCACUUAUCUGGAUGGGGUCGAUUGCUGAUCAGAAAGGGCAAUGGCCUAGGCUAGUGGCCUCCAUUGCACUCUAGAGGAAUGUUGGCUUACCAUCUCCUCAUGAGAGUAGACAUUAUAAUUUGUGUUAUAGUGUAUUUAUUAUAAAAUAUUUUGUU